rnacentral:rRNA from 1 species
AAAUUGAAGAGUUUGAUCAUGGCUCAGAUUGAACGCUGGCGGCAGGCCUAACACAUGCAAGUCGAACGGUAACAGAAAGCAGCUUGCUGCUUUGCUGACGAGUGGCGGACGGGUGAGUAAUAUCUGGGAAACUGCCCGAUGGAGGGGGAUAACUACUGGAAACGGUAGCUAAUACCGCAUAACGUCGCAAGACCAAAGAGGGGGACCUUCGGGCCUCUUGCCAUCGGAUGUGCCCAGAUGGGAUUAGCUAGUAGGUGGGGUAAAGGCUCACCUAGGCGACGAUCCCUAGCUGGUCUGAGAGGAUGACCAGCCACACUGGAACUGAGACACGGUCCAGACUCCUACGGGAGGCAGCAGUGGGGAAUAUUGCACAAUGGGCGCAAGCCUGAUGCAGCCAUGCCGCGUGUAUGAAGAAGGCCUUCGGGUUGUAAAGUACUUUCAGCGGGGAGGAAGGGAGUAAAGUUAAUACCUUUGCUCAUUGACGUUACCCGCAGAAGAAGCACCGGCUAACUCCGUGCCAGCAGCCGCGGUAAUACGGAGGGUGCAAGCGUUAAUCGGAAUUACUGGGCGUAAAGCGCACGCAGGCGGUUUGUUAAGUCAGAUGUGAAAUCCCCGGGCUCAACCUGGGAACUGCAUCUGAUACUGGCAAGCUUGAGUCUCGUAGAGGGGGGUAGAAUUCCAGGUGUAGCGGUGAAAUGCGUAGAGAUCUGGAGGAAUACCGGUGGCGAAGGCGGCCCCCUGGACGAAGACUGACGCUCAGGUGCGAAAGCGUGGGGAGCAAACAGGAUUAGAUACCCUGGUAGUCCACGCCGUAAACGAUGUCGACUUGGAGGUUGUGCCCUUGAGGCGUGGCUUCCGGAGCUAACGCGUUAAGUCGACCGCCUGGGGAGUACGGCCGCAAGGUUAAAACUCAAAUGAAUUGACGGGGGCCCGCACAAGCGGUGGAGCAUGUGGUUUAAUUCGAUGCAACGCGAAGAACCUUACCUGGUCUUGACAUCCACGGAAGUUUUCAGAGAUGAGAAUGUGCCUUCGGGAACCGUGAGACAGGUGCUGCAUGGCUGUCGUCAGCUCGUGUUGUGAAAUGUUGGGUUAAGUCCCGCAACGAGCGCAACCCUUAUCCUUUGUUGCCAGCGGUCCGGCCGGGAACUCAAAGGAGACUGCCAGUGAUAAACUGGAGGAAGGUGGGGAUGACGUCAAGUCAUCAUGGCCCUUACGACCAGGGCUACACACGUGCUACAAUGGCGCAUACAAAGAGAAGCGACCUCGCGAGAGCAAGCGGACCUCAUAAAGUGCGUCGUAGUCCGGAUUGGAGUCUGCAACUCGACUCCAUGAAGUCGGAAUCGCUAGUAAUCGUGGAUCAGAAUGCCACGGUGAAUACGUUCCCGGGCCUUGUACACACCGCCCGUCACACCAUGGGAGUGGGUUGCAAAAGAAGUAGGUAGCUUAACCUUCGGGAGGGCGCUUACCACUUUGUGAUUCAUGACUGGGGUGAAGUCGUAACAAGGUAACCGUAGGGGAACCUGCGGUUGGAUCACCUCCUUACCUUAAAGAAGC